rnacentral:pre_miRNA from 1 species
UUGUUCCUUUUUCCUAUGCUUAUAUUUCUUUGGUAAUUAAAUCAAAAGAGAUAUAAAGCAUGGGAAAAUGGGGCAG